rnacentral:ncRNA from 2 species
GCCCGCCUGCGUGACUGGCGAGACAGAUGGAGAACCAUCGGGAAGCGCAGGUUUCCGAUGCCGCUCGCCUGGGCACCAAAA